rnacentral:rRNA from 1 species
GAUGAACGCUGGCGGCGCGCCUAACACAUGCAAGUCGAACGAUUAAAGCACCUUCGGGUGUGUAUAAAGUGGCGAACGGCUGAGUAACACGUGGGCAACCUGCCCCCCUCAUUGGGAUAGCCACGGGAAACCGUGGAUAAUACCGAAUACUUCGGGACUUCCGCAUGGAAGACUCGAGAAAGCUCCGGCGGAGAGGGAUGGGCCCGCGGCCUGUUAGCUUGUUGGUGGGGUAAUGGCCUACCAAGGCAAUGAUGGGUAGCUGGGUUGAGAGACCGACCAGCCAGAUUGGGACUGAGACACGGCCCAGACUCCUACGGGAGGCAGCAGUGGGGAAUCUUGCACAAUGGGAGAAAGCCUGAUGCAGAGACGCCGCGUGCGGGAUGAAGGCCUUCGGGUUGUAAACCGCUUUCAGCAGGGACGAGGCGAAAGUGACGGUACCUGCAGAAGAAGCCCCGGCUAACUACGUG